UUGCAGUUAAAAAGCUCGUAGUUGGAUUUGUGGCUGUCCCGAGCGGCCUAACACUUAGUGUUAGUGUCAGCUUGGGUCGCCAUCCUUGGGUGGAACCUAUGUGGCAUUAGGUUGUCGUGUAGGGGAUGCCCAUCGUUUACUGUGAAAAAAUUAGAGUGUUCAAAGCAGGCUUAUGCCGUUGAAUAUAUUAGCAUGGAAUAAUAAGAUAGGACCUUGGUACUACUUUGUUGGUUUGCGCACCAAGGUAAUGAUUAAUAGGGACAGUUGGGGGUAUUCGUAUUCCAUUGUCAGAGGUGAAAUUCUUGGAUUUUUGGAAGACGAACUACUGCGAAAGCAUUUACCAAGGAUGUUUUCAUUAAUCAAGAACGAAAGUUAGGGGAUCGAAGAUGAUUAGAUACCAUCGUAGUCUUAACCAUAAACUAUGCCGACAAGGGAUUGGCGGAGUCUCGUUUUGUCUCCGUCAGCACCUUAUGA
rnacentral:rRNA from 1 species